rnacentral:rRNA from 1 species
AACGAACGCAGGCGGCAGGCUUAAAAAAUGCAAGUCGAGCGUCCUGCAAGGGGAGAGGCAGACGGGUGAGUAACGCGUGGGAAUCUAUCCAUCUCUACGGAAUAACGCAUGGAAACGUGUGCUAAUACCGUGUACGUCCUUCGGGAGAAAGAUUUAUCGGAGAGGGCUGAGCACGCGUUGGAUUAGCCAGUUGGUGGGCAAAAGGCCUACCAGGGCGACGAUCCAUAGCUGGUCUGAGAAGAUGAUCAGCCACACUGGGACUGCGACACGACCCAGACUCCUACGGGAAACAGCUGUGGGAAAGAUUGGACAAUGGGAGCAGGCCUUGUCCAGCAAGGCCGCGUGAGUCAUGAAGGCCCUAGAGUUUUAAAGCUCUUUCACCAGUGAAGAUAAUGACGGUAACCGGAGAAGAAGCCCCUGCUAACUUCGUGCCAGCCGCCGCAGUAAUAC